CUUGGUCAUUUAGAGGAAGUAAAAGUCGUAACAAGGUUUCCGUAGGUGAACCUGCGGAAGGAUCAUUAAUGAAUUUAGGAGGUUUGCUGUGCCGUCUUCACGGAAUUGUGCACGCUUACCUCUAUAAUCCUUAUCAACACCUGUGCACCUUUCUAGGGAGAACGAUAGGUUUCACGACCUAUCAUGACCUCUAUAUACACACUCUUUAUGUCAAUGAAUGUUACUUGGCCGAAAGGCUAGAAUUAUAAACAACUUUUAACAACGGAUCUCUUGGCUCUCGCAUCGAUGAAGAACGCAGCGAAAUGCGAUCAGUAAUGUGAAUUGCAGAAUUCAGUGAAUCAUCGAAUCUUUGAACGCACCUUGCGCUCCCUGGUAUUCCGGGGAGCACGCCUGUUCGAGUGUUAUGAAACUAUCAAGAAAAAUUGGCUUUAUUGUUGAUUUUGAUUGGAUUUGAACUUUGACGUUGAUCUAGGUAGAGGGUUACUCCUCUGCUCUGUAAUACGACUAGUUUUAAAAGUAUAAGCAGGCUCUGGUUUUUUAAUUACCAUGGUUCUACUCAGCGUGAUAAUUAUCUAUCGUUGAGGACACUUUUAUUAGUGGCCAUGGUCCCAAGAGUUGCUCUCUAAUCUCUGUGAUCAGUUGCAAGACUGAUUUCAUUCAUAUCUGACCUCGAAUCAGGUGGGACUACCCGCUGAACUUAAGCAUAUCAAUAAGCGGAGGA
rnacentral:rRNA from 1 species